CCUACGGGUGGCAGCAGUCGAGAAUCAUUCACAAUGGGGGAAACCCUGAUGGUGCGACGCCGCGUGGGGGAAUGAAGGUCUUCGGAUUGUAAACCCCUGUCAUGUGGGAGCAAAUUAAAAAGAUAGUACCACAAGAGGAAGAGACGGCUAACUCUGUGCCAGCAGCCGCGGUAAUACAGAGGUCUCAAGCGUUGUUCGGAAUCACUGGGCGUAAAGCGUGCGUAGGCUGUUUCAUAAGUCGUGGGUGAAAGGCGCGGGCUCAACCCGCGGACGGCACAUGAUACUGCGAGACUAGAGUAAGGGAGGGGGAACCGGAAUUCUCGGUGUAGCAGUGAAAUGCGUAGAUAUCGAGAGGAACACUCGUGGCGAAGGCGGGUUCCUGGACAUUAACUGACGCUGAGGCACGAAGGCCAGGGGAGCGAAAGGGAUUAGAUACCCUAGUAGUC
rnacentral:rRNA from 1 species